rnacentral:rRNA from 1 species
GUGCCAGCCGCCGCGGUAAUACGUAGGUGGCAAGCGUUAUCGCGGAAUUAUGCGGGCGUAAAGCGCGCGUAGGCGGUUUUUUAAGUCUGAUGUGAAAGCCCACGGCUCAACCGUGGAGGGUCAUUGGAAACUGGAAAACUUGAGUGCAGAAGAGGAAAGUGGAAUUCCAUGUGUAGCGGUGAAAUGCGCAGAGAUAUGGAGGAACACCAGUGGUGAAGGCGACUUUCUGGUCUGUAACUGACGCUGAUGUGCGAAAGCGUGGGGAUCA